GUGCUCGCUUCAGCAGCACAAAUAUUAAAACUGGAAUGACACAGAAAAGAUUAGCAUGGCCCCUGCGCAAGGACGACAUGCAGAUGUAUGAAGCCUUCCACAUUUUU
rnacentral:snRNA from 1 species